UCUUUCUUUCUUUCUUUCUUUCUUUCUUUCGAUAGAAUUCUGCUAAAUUGCCUAGGCUGGACUUGAACUUCUGAUCUUCCUGCUUCAGCCUCCCAGAGAGGUAGGAUUACAGCAUCCAGAUCGCUGGUGGCUCCUGGUCCCCAAGACUGCCUGAGCCGCGGAGUAACCUCAGGGCGGAGGGCACUCCUGUCUCCAUAGUCUGUGGCGCCAGCCGCCUCUUUCUCAAGGAAGAGUCCACAGACAAGGUCUCACAAUGUAGCCCAGAUCCUCCUGGCUCAGUCUCCUCAGUGCUGGGAUUACAGGCGCAUCACAUGUCCAGUGGCAACGUCUUUUACUGUAAUAAUUUUUUUAAAAACACUGUGGGAGGGAAGGGGAAGGAAAGAAUCAAGAUGUGCCAUGUCGGCCCGGGAUUUAGCUCAGUGGCACCUUGCCUGCUUGGCAAGCGCAAGGGUUUGAGUUCAAUCCCCGGUACCAAAAAAACCCAAGCCAAAACAAGAUGUGCUAUGUCCACGUACCACCUUCCCACGAGGAGUGUAAUCACUAGGUACUGCAAACAAACCGUCACUGUAUUUUUUGAUCACCGGGUACGUUCUCUCCCCACGGCCCCAGCGCGCCUCUCCGCUCCACCUGCAGAGCAAAGCCCCGGCACUUGGUGGCGCCAUCCUCCAAGUGAAAACCAACAGGGGACUGGAAUGACAAAGUCCUGGACUUCGGGGCCAGUUGUGUCAGUUUAUACUGAUAGGAUGCAGGACACAACGGCCCACAGCCAGCCCGGACUCAGCUUCCCCCUCUCUGUUCAGGACCAGAACCAACAGGCGUUUUCGCAAAGUGCUGCGCAACAGCGGGGUCCUCCGUUCUGCCUCUUGGAGCAACUCGCUUGCCGCCCAGUCACCGUCGAUCAGUCACUAUCGGGUAGAGCCAGAGUCCAUCAUUCGCGUUCAGUUCACCGAGAAGUCAGAACGCAACUGAAUCCGACCGCAAGAUCUGGGGAUCCUAGUGCCUGCUGUUUGUUUCGGCUACGAAACACCGCGCGAUUCCUAGGGCAACAACUCUGGACUAAAUCCAAGUCCUGCCAGGCCCAGCCCUUUCGUAGUCUCGCCCAACCACCGCCCCCAAGAUGAUAUCCAAUCGUAAGCCCCGCUCGCCCAAAACUCUGCC
rnacentral:lncRNA from 1 species